rnacentral:rRNA from 1 species
UUAAGCAUAUCAAUAAGCGGAGGAAAAAGAAACCAACAGGGGAUUGCCCUAGUAACGGCGAGUGAAGCGGCAACAGCUCAAAUUUGAAAUCUGGUCCUUUCAGGGCCCGAGUUGUAAUUUGCAGAGGAUGCUUCGGGUACGGGUGCCUACUGAGUUCCCUGGAACGGGACGCCAUAGAGGGUGAGAGCCCCGUCUAGUAGGAUACCCAGCCCAUGUGAAGCUCCCUCGACGAGUCGAGUAGUUUGGGAAUGCUGCUCUAAUGGGAGGUAUACUCCUUCCAAGGCUAAAUACCGGCUGGAGACCGAUAGCGCACAAGUAGAGUGAUCGAAAGAUGAAAAGCACUUUGAAAAGAGAGUCAAAUAGCACGUGAAAUUGUUGAAAGGGAAGCGCUCGCUACCAGACUUGAGUUAGGCGGUUCAACCGGGGCCACGCCCCGGGGCACUCCACCUGCUCAGGCCAGCAUCAGCUUUCCGUCGGGGGCAAAGGCGUCGGGAAUGUGGCUCUCCUCCGGGAGAGUGUUAUAGCCCGGCGUGUCAUACCCUUCGGGGGGCUGAGGUACGCGCUUCUGCAAGGAUGCUGGCGUAAUGGUAGCUAGUGACCCGUCUUGAAACACGGACCAAGGAGUCAACCUUAUGUGCGAGUGCCCGGGCGUAAAACCCCAGCGCGGAAUGAAAGUGAACGUAGGUGAGAGCUUCGGCGCAUCACCGACCGAUCCUGAUGUCCUCGGACGGAUUUGAGUGAGAGCAUAUAGGGUUGGACCCGAAAGAAGAUGAACUAUGCGUGUGUAGGGUGAAGCCAGAGGAAACUCUGGUGGAGGCUCGCAGCGGUUCUGACGUGCAAAUCGAUCGUCAAACAUGCGCAUGGGGCGAAAGACUAAUCGAAUCUUCUGGUAGCUGGUUUCCGCCGAGU